rnacentral:rRNA from 1 species
AGAGUUUGAUCCUGGCUCAGAACGAACGCUGGCGGCAGGCUUAACACAUGCAAGUCGAACGCCCCGCAAGGGGAGUGGCAGACGGGUGAGUAACACGUGGGAAUCAACCCAGAGGUUCGGAAUAACCGCGGGAAACUGCGGCUAAUACCGGAUAUCCCCUACGGGGGAAAGAUUUAUCGCCUUUGGACGAGCCCGCGUCCGAUUAGCUAGUUGGUGAGGUAACGGCUCACCAAGGCUCCGAUCGGUAGCUGGUCUGAGAGGACGACCAGCCACACUGGAACUGAGAUACGGUCCAGACUCCUACGGGAGGCAGCAGUGGGGAAUAUUGGGCAAUGGAGGCAACUCUGACCCAGCCAUGCCGCGUGGGUGACGAAGGUCUUCGGAUUGUAAAGCCCUUUCGGCGGGGACGAUGAUGACGGUACCCGCAGAAGAAGCCCCGGCUAACUUCGUGCCAGCAGCCGCGGUAAUACGAAGGGGGCUAGCGUUGUUCGGAAUUACUGGGCGUAAAGGGCGUGUAGGCGGCCCGUUAAGACAGGUGUGAAAUUCCUGGGCUCAACCCAGGACGUGCGCCUGUGACUGGCGGGCUUGAGUCCGGGAGAGGAUGGUGGAACUCCCAGUGUAGAGGUGAAAUUCGUAGAUAUUGGGAAGAACACCCGUGGCGAAGGCGGCCAUCUGGACCGGUACUGACGCUAAGGCGCGACAGCGUGGGGAGCAAACAGGAUUAGAUACCCCGGUAGU